UACGUAGGGGGCAAGCGUUGUCCGGAUUUAUUGGGCGUAAAGAGCGUGUAGGCGGUUUGGUAGGUCCGUUGUGAAAACUCGAGGCUCAACCUCGAGACGCCGAUGGAAACCAUCAGACUAGAGUCCGGAAGAGGAGAGUGGAAUUCCUGGUGUAGCGGUGAAAUGCGCAGAUAUCAGGAAGAACACCCGUGGCUAAGGCGGCUCUCUAGUACGGUACUGACGCUGAGACGCGAAAGCGUGGGGAUCAAACAGG
rnacentral:rRNA from 1 species